UGAACGCUGGCGGCAUGCCUUACACAUGCAAGUCGAACGGUAACAGGUCUUCGGAUGCUGACGAGUGGCGAACGGGUGAGUAAUACAUCGGAACGUGCCCGAUCGUGGGGGAUAACGAAGCGAAAGCUUUGCUAAUACCGCAUACGAUCUACGGAUGAAAGCAGGGGACCGCAAGGCCUUGCGCGAACGGAGCGGCCGAUGGCAGAUUAGGUAGUUGGUGGGAUAAAAGCUUACCAAGCCGACGAUCUGUAGCUGGUCUGAGAGGACGACCAGCCACACUGGGACUGAGACACGGCCCAGACUCCUACGGGAGGCAGCAGUGGGGAAUUUUGGACAAUGGGCGAAAGCCUGAUCCAGCCAUGCCGCGUGCAGGAUGAAGGCCUCGGGUUGUAACCGACUGUCGGAGGGACGAAGCGUCUGACGGUACCGUCCAAACGGAAGCACCGGCUAACUCUGUGCCAGCAGCCGCGGUAAUCUGAUG
rnacentral:rRNA from 1 species